CGAUUGUGGAGCUGAAGGCAGUCGAAGAUACCAGCUGGCUGCAACUGUUUAUUAAAAACACAGCACUGUGCAAACACGAAAGUGGACGUAUACGGUGUGACGCCUGCCCGGUGCCGGAAGGUUAAUUGAUGGGGUUAAGCGCAAGCUGAAGCUCUUGAUCGAAGCCCCGGUAAACGGCGGCCGUAACUAUAACGGUCCUAAGGUAGCGAAAUUCCUUGUCGGGUAAGUUCCGACCUGCACGAAUGGCGUAAUGAUGGCCAGGCUGUCUCCACCCGAGACUCAGUGAAAUUGAAAUCGCUGUGAAGAUGCAGUGUACCCGCGGCAAGACGGAAAGACCCCGUGAACCUUUACUAUAGCUUGACACUGAACACUGGUCCUUGAUGUGUAGGAUAGGUGGGAGGCUUUGAAGCGAGGACGCCAGUUCUUGUGGAGCCAACCUUGAAAUACCACCCUUUAAUGGCUGGUGUUCUAACGUAGACCCGUAAUCCGGGUUGCGGACAGUGUCUGGUGGGUAGUUUGACUGGGGCGGUCUCCUCCUAAAGCGUAACGGAGGAGCACGAAGGUUAGCUAAUCACGGUCGGACAUCGUGAGGUUAGUGCAAAGGCAUAAGCUAGCUUGACUGCGAGAGUGACGGCUCGAGCAGGUGCGAAAGCAGGUCUUAGUGAUCCGGUGGUUCUGAAUGGAAGGGCCAUCGCUCAACGGAUAAAAGGUACUCCGGGGAUAACAGGCUGAUACCGCCCAAGAGUUCAUAUCGACGGCGGUGUUUGGCACCUCGAUGUCGGCUCAUCACAUCCUGGGGCUGAAGUAGGUCCCAAGGGUAUGGCUGUUCGCCAUUUAAAGUGGUACGCGAGCUGGGUUUAGAACGUCGUGAGACAGUUCGGUCCCUAUCUGCCGUGGGCGCUGGAGAAUUGAGGGGGGCUGCUCCUAGUACGAGAGGACCGGAGUGGACGCAUCACUGGUGUUCGGGUUGUCAUGCCAAUGGCAUUGCCCGGUAGCUAAAUGCGGAAAAGAUAAGCGCUGAAAGCAUCUAAGCGCGAAACUUGCCCCGAGAUGAGUUCUCCCUGACCCUUUAAGGGUCCUGAAGGAACGUUGAAGACUACGACGUUGAUAGGCUGGGUGUGUAAGCGUAGCGAUACGUUGAGCUAACCAGUACUAAUGAUCCGUGAGGCUUAACCUUACAACACCGAAGGUGUUUUGGUUGAGAGACUAAG
rnacentral:rRNA from 1 species